UCCGAAUUACUUGGUUAAGAACGAGGUUGAAAUCAACGAGGGUUGUUCUACCUGAAAGAAAAUGAAGCUUAUGCUGGCCCUCCUCGCUUUUGCCAUUUCUGGCCUCUUGGUGCCAGACACUACAGCUUUGCCAACCGGCGAUAUAUUUGGAGUUGCCUCAAAGGAAGCUCAGCGCUCGGACGGAAGUGCUGAAGACGCCGAAGCCCGCGUAUCUGUGGCUUGUGUGAACAACAAAUGCGCAGUUUCACCGCUGAGGAAAUAAGGGCGAACCUCGAGAACAUGUAUUUGGGACUGAAACGCAGCCUUCGCUACUUCCAUUUCUUUUCGGGAGCAGCAUCUCUGUUUUUCAGCCGUAGCUGCGAACGUCUGCGCGAGGGAUAAACUCCGUGACUGCACUUUUCUGGUGGUGGUUGAAUAAAGUACCCGUCUAUGAUGGUGUUGGGGCGUUAGGUGCGCUGCAUAGCAAAUAUAUAGUUUUAAAAACUCAACGCACACAUCUUUUACCUAAUCAAUUAAAAAGUUACGAGAAGUUUUCACCUCCGUCAUUCGCUGGGUGUAUUACGUCGCACUGUGCUUACAUGGCGCUUUUCUCCGAGAUCGAAGCACGCCGUGUCUAGUAAUUCAACACGUUUGAACAAUGAAUAAAAAUUCCGCUUCCUUUGCAA